rnacentral:misc_RNA from 1 species
UUUCCGUAGGUGAACUUGCGGAAGGAUCAUUACUGAGUGAGGGCCCCUCGGGGUCCAACCUCCCACCCGUGUUUAACGAACCUUGUUGCUUCGGCGGGCCCGCCUCACGGCCGCCGGGGGGCAUCUGCCCCCGGGCCCGCGCCCGCCGAAGCCACCUGUGAACGCUGUCUGAUGUAUGCAGUCUGAGACAAUUAUUAAAUUAAUUAAAACUUUCAACAACGGAUCUCUUGGUUCCG